GGGUUGUGAGGUUAAGCGACUAAGCGUACACGGUGGAUGCCCUGGCAGUCAGAGGCGAUGAAGGACGUGCUAAUCUGCGAUAAGCGUCGGUAAGGUGAUAUGAACCGUUAUAACCGGCGAUUUCCGAAUGGGGAAACCCAGUGUGUUUCGACACACUAUCAUUAACUGAAUCCAUAGGUUAAUGAGGCGAACCGGGGGAACUGAAACAUCUAAGUACCCCGAGGAAAAGAAAUCAACCGAGAUUCCCCCAGUAGCGGCGAGCGAACGGGGAGGAGCCCAGAGCCUGAAUCA
rnacentral:rRNA from 1 species